GAGAAUUACCACAGGAGGAGCAAAGCCUUCAGGCAGUCACGGAUCAGGUCAUUUGACAAUCGAAAAAAUUCCUAUUGUAGAAUUCAAAAGAAUUACUGAAGAGGAGAAAAGCCUUCAGGCAGUCACAGAUCAGUUUGUUCUGGUGACGUAUGCUGCACUGGCUGUGGGAGCUGCAGCUUACGCUGUGAACCGUAGAAACAAACAGACACAGGAAGUAGCAGAGAGUAGCACUUCCUCCCAGGCCUGAAGGACCCUUCACACACACGCGCGCACACGCACACGCACACGCACACACACACAUAGAGUAGCACUUCCUGCCAGGCCUGAAGGACCCUUCACUCUAACACUCACACUCACACACACACACACACACACACAACACACAUAAGCCAGAUGUAACUGUUUAUUGAAUUAUGUAUUAAUAAAUACCUCAACUGUGA